AUCCAGAACAAGUUGUUCCAUCACCUUUCCAGGGACAGAGGCCACUUUUAAAGCACCACGAGAAAUUUCCAGCUGAGCAGCAUUUUCAACAGCACAGUUUCUACCAUACUUAACAGAAGUGAAUUCCUGGGAAGGUUUGAGUGUAGCAGAGACAAGCAGAGAUGCCUGGCAAACAGCUUUGGGAAUAAUAUUACAGCAAGGGCUCGAGGACAUGGCAUUUCCACUUUAUUUAUUCAGACAGCACCAGAGGCCAGAGAUGUGAAGAGACACAUAGUGGGAAGGCAAGAUGCUUUUUCUAGGAAAAAUUAAAUCAACACAGUAACUGAACAAAUGCACUGAAUGAAGCGUGUGGAACAGGGAAGAAAUGGCACAGUCAGCAGCAAAGGAAGGGAAAAACAAAAGAUGUUGAUCAUCAUAUUAAAUUGAGAUUAGCAGGCCCAAUUAACAUUUGUUAUCUUUGCCAAGUUUGCUUAUGAAACCUGUAACAUUACUACAGAAAGCUACAUAUUAAUUUAAAAGAAAUCAAGAAGCACAGAUAGUAUCUUCAAUAGCUAAAAUCAAAGCAGCUUCUCACCAGCUCAUCCUGAUAAGGCAUCUCAGAGGCAGGAUGGCAGAUUACUCCCAACAGCAAGGUGAAAAAAUCUCUUCAGAACCACUCCCUUAAGCAUGCCUUCCUAUUUGGUUUGCAUAUUGUUUUCUACACACCUCUUCAUUGAUUAGCAUCUUUAUUAAUACAUUAGGAUUUAACUAAUACUGGCUAUGUAAAUUCACUAAGUCAAAGUACAAGCUGCAACUCACGUGCAAUACACUGAAUUUGCAUCAGAUUUUACAAGUAACUUUUCUCUAUCUGCACUCCUACAAAGCUAAAUUCAGCAGUAGGGAAGGAGAGAGGGUGAAAAGAUUUUCAAGGACUUCUCAGAUAUUUCUUAAUGGGAUGCAGCACAUCGUAUUCCUUCACUGAGGCCAGAGUCUCAAGAAACACCAGCAAGUAGCAAACUGUGUGGGCAAGAACUGCCAGAUAUGCCCUAUGUCAAUAAGGCUGCUGAGCUCUUGAACUCUCCCACCUGACUUAUUUCUCAGUAGACUAAUUUUGCCCUGCUGCAAAAUGGGUCUACUAGCAGCCUACUUUGCAAAACUGCAGUGUUCUCAUUAGCUAAUAUGUGCUAAGUGUCUGGAAGUAACUCUUGGCUCAUAAAAGAGGGAUCUCAAAAUAUCUGUUCAAAAUGAGAGCACAUUCUCAAAUGAAAUAGCUGACGUUUGUUUAUGGAGGCAACGAGGCCAGAUCGGCUCCCAUGCUGUGUUGGCCUAGCCGGGAGGAGGCUACCAGUAGGUGGCUGCAGAUGCCAGCAGUGGGGCUGGCUCCAGGCUGGAGGGAACACUUGUGCCUCUGUCAGCAGCCCUGUGGCAGAGUCCAUCCAUAGUUACCCAUGCCCUAGAUAGGCUCAGCCUGAGUAAAUCAAUACUGAGUAAAUAGUUGCUUUGCAUGGAGCAAAAGACAGCGAGUGAUGAGUCAUAUGGAAUAAUAGAAUCAUUAUGGUUGGAAAGAUCUCUAAGAUCAUGCAGUCCAACCAUCAACCCAGAUCACUCUAGACCAUAUCACUUGGUACAACAUCCACCCUUUUCUUAAAAACCUCCUAGGGUGAUUCCACCACCUUCCUAGGCAGCCUGUGCCAAUCCCUCACCACUCUUUCUGA